UAAACUCUCCCCAAAUCAAAUCAACAAAGACACGUCUCAAACUCUCUCUCCCUCGUUAGCAACCAUCUUCAUGUCGUCUUCCCAGAUGGAGUAGCAGCGAUGACGACGGUGGUGGCGGCCUUGACGUUUGCGGCAGCGACGACGAAUGCCUUGUUCACGACAAUGACGGUUGCGGCUGCUUUAUUCAUGGCAGCGAGGGCGACUUAGUUCUUCUAUUCGUUCUUCUAUUUUUUGUUCUGUUUUUUACUUUCCAAUUUGGUCGGGUCUUGCAAUGACAGCAAUUAACGAGGUUUGGUAUAAUUAAUGUUUAUAUUCCGCUUAUUUGGGACUUUUGAUGUCAAAUUUGUUUUUAGGUUGGUAUACUAAGCGUUUUGACUAGGAAUUUCAUCAUGAAUCCAUUGAUUUGUUUUUUUUUACGAAAUUAGGGUUUGAUAUAAGGAAAAAAAAAAGAUGGAAGUGGCCAAAAUUGAGGAAUAAGAAGAUGGAAGAAAACAUACGAAAUUGAUUUUGUUGAUGAUUUUAUUAUUUUGUUUGGUGAUAUUUUGGUUGGGGAAGAAGAUACAGUGUGUUAUUUAUGUUUUGAGUUUGGAAGUUUUUC
rnacentral:lncRNA from 1 species